AAUGAACGCUGGCGGCGUGCCUAACACAUGCAAGUCGAGCGAGAAAGUCUCUUCGGAGAUAAGUACAGCGGCGACGGGUGAGUAACGCGUGAGAAUUUACCCUUAGUGAAGAAUACCCUCUGAGAAAUCAGGGUUAAUACUGCAUACGUCCCUACGGGGAGAAAGGUGGCCUCUUUGCUGCCGCUAAAGGAUAAGCUUGCGUACUAUUAGCUAGUUGGUGAGGUAAAGGCUCACCAAGGCGAUGAUGGUUAGCCGGCCUGAGAGGGUGUACGGCCACACUGGAACUUAGACACGGUCCAGACUCCUACGGGAGGCAGCAGUGAGGAAUAUUGCGCAAUGGGCGAAAGCCUGACGCAGCGACGCCGCGUUGGAGGAUGAAGGUCUUCGGAUUGUAAAACUCCUGUUAAAGUGGGGAAGAAAGGACCCUAAUUUCUAAUACAGAUAGGGGAUGACGGUACCAUUAGAGAAAG
rnacentral:rRNA from 1 species